rnacentral:rRNA from 1 species
UACGAGGGGGGCGAGCGUUGUUCGGAAUUAUUGGGCGUAAAGGGUGCGUAGGCGGUUCCGCAAGUCCUGUGUGAAAUCUUCGGGCUCAACUCGAAGUCUGCACGGGAAACUGCGGGGCUUGAGUGUGGGAGAGGUGAGUGGAAUUCCCGGUGUAGCGGUGAAAUGCGUAGAGAUCUGGAGGAAUACCGGUGGCGAAGGCGGCCCCCUGGACAAAGACUGACGCUCAGGUGCGAAAGCGUGGGGAGCAAACAGG